rnacentral:sRNA from 1 species
GAUAUUAAUUAAUAAAUUAUUCGUCUGUUUCAGCAAUUUCUCCCAAGUGCAAGUGAACGUGUGUUCGACAGGCCGAAGAAGGAAUCAUCCGGUGGAACGAGAGGUAGCAGCUGAGAAGACUCCACAUCCCAAUCACCGAGCAGUGCCGCCAGUUUUGUUAAGUUGAUUGUGUAGUUUAAGCCAGUGCAUUGUAGUGUUGUUUUGCUGCAUGUGUGUAUGUGCAUACGUGCCAAAUAAAACUUUUAAUUGAAUAUAAAAUUCAAUUUGAGUUUUAUUUGUUAGGAUAUCCUUUGCAGAUAGGAUAUGUGAGGACGACCAGUUUCCAGCGUAUAUGCUUGCAAUCAGUUGCUGGGGAAGGACCAGCCUGCAUCGGCCGAAGAAUCUCCUGGAUUUGUGUUGUGUGUGC